AUUGAACGCUGGCGGCAUGCCUUACACAUGCAAGUCGAACGGCAGCACGGGUGCUUGCACCUGGUGGCGAGUGGCGAACGGGUGAGUAAUACAUCGGAACAUGUCCUGUAGUGGGGGAUAGCCCGGCGAAAGCCGGAUUAAUACCGCAUACGAUCUACGGAUGAAAGCGGGGGACCUUCGGGCCUCGCGCUAUAGGGUUGGCCGAUGGCUGAUUAGCUAGUUGGUGGGGUAAAGGCCUACCAAGGCGACGAUCAGUAGCUGGUCUGAGAGGACGACCAGCCCCCCUGGGCCUGGGACACGGCCCAAACUCCAACGAGGGCCAGCAGUGGAAUUUUUUAGAAAAGGGGCGAAGGCCUGAUCCAGCAAGGCCGCGUGUGGAAAGAGGGCUUCGGGGUUGAAAAGCACUUUGGUCCGAAAAAAAAUCCUUGGCCCAAAUACGUUCGGGGAUGACGGUACCGGAAGAAUAAGCACCGGCUAACUACGU
rnacentral:rRNA from 1 species